CCCUUAGAUGUUCUGGGCCGCACGCGCGCUACACUGAUGACGGCAACGAGUCGAUUCGAUCCUGAACCGGCGGGUUUGGGUAAUCUUUUCAAACGUCAUCGUGCUGGGGAUAGAUGCUUGUAAUUUUUCAUCUUAAACGAGGAAUUUCUAGUAAGCGUAAGUCAUCAUCUUACGUUGAUUACGUCCCUGCCCUUUGUACACACCGCCCGUCGCUCCUACCGAUUGAAUGGUUCGGUGAAAUCUUUGGAGCGGAGGAUUUCGGUACACUCGUGGUACCUGUUCGCCGCAAAAUUGAUUAAACCUAAUUAUUUAGAGGAAGGAGAAGUCGUAACA
rnacentral:rRNA from 1 species